rnacentral:rRNA from 1 species
GCUUACACAUGCAAGUCGAGCGGUAACAGAGAUAGCUUGCUAUCUGCUGACGAGCGGCGGACGGGUGAGUAAUGCUUGGGAAUAUGCCUUUGAGUGGGGGACAACAGUUGGAAACGACUGCUAAUACCGCAUAACGUCUACGGACCAAAGGGGGGGAUGCUUCGGCACCUCUCGCUCAUUGAUUAGCCCAAGUGAGAUUAGCUAGUUGGUAAGGUAAUGGCUUACCAAGGCGACGAUCUCUAGCUGGUUUGAGAGGAUGAUCAGCCACACUGGGACUGAGACACGGCCCAGACUCCUACGGGAGGCAGCAGUGGGGAAUAUUGCACAAUGGGCGAAAGCCUGAUGCAGCCAUGCCGCGUGUGUGAAGAAGGCCUUCGGGUUGUAAAGCACUUUCAGCGAGGAGGAAAGGUUAGUAGUUAAUAGCUGCUAGCUGUGACGUUACUCGCAGAAGAAGCACCGGCUAACUUCGUGCCAGCAGCCGCGGUAAUACGAGGGGUGCAAGCGUUAAUCGGAAUUACUGGGCGUAAAGCGUGCGUAGGUGGUUUGUUAAGCAAGAUGUGAAAGCCCCGGGCUCAACCUGGGAACUGCAUUUUGAACUGGCAAAC